rnacentral:rRNA from 1 species
ACGAACGCUGGCGGCGUGCUUCACACCUGCAAGUCGAACGGAAAGGCCCUGCUUUUGUGGGGUGCUCGAGUGGCGAACGGGUGAGUAACACGUGAGUAACCUGCCCUUGACUUUGGGAUAACUUCAGGAAACUGGGGCUAAUACCGGAUAGGAGCUCCUGCUGCAUGGUGGGGGUUGGAAAGUUUUGGCGGUUGGGGAUGGACUCGCGGCUUAUCAGCUUGUUGGUGGGGUAGUGGCUUACCAAGGCUUUGACGGGUAGCCGGCCUGAGAGGGUGACCGGCCACAUUGGGACUGAGAUACGGCCCAGACUCCUACGGGAGGCAGCAGUGGGGAAUAUUGCACAAUGGGCGGAAGCCUGAUGCAGCAACGCCGCGUGCGGGAUGACGGCCUUCGGGUUGUAAACCGCUUUCGCCUGUGACGAAGCGUGAGUGACGGUAAUGGGUAAAGAAGCACCGGCUAACUACGUG